GACGAACGCUGGCGGCGUGCUUAACACAUGCAAGUCGAACGGAAAGGCCCUGCUUUUGUGGGGUGCUCGAGUGGCGAACGGGUGAGUAACACGUGAGUAACCUGCCCUUGACUUUGGGAUAACUUCACGAAACUGGGGCUAAUACCGGAUAGGAGCUCCUGCUGCAUGGUGGGGGUUGGAAAGUUUCGGCGGUUGGGGAUGGACUCGCGGCUUAUCAGCUUGUUGGUGGGGUAGUGGCUUACCAAGGCUUUGACGGGUAGCCGGCCUGAGAGGGUGACCGGCCACAUUGGGACUGAGAUACGGCCCAGACUCCUACGGGAGGCAGCAGUGGGGAAUAUUGCACAGUGGGCGGAAGCCUGAUGCAGCAACGCCGCGUGCGGGAUGACGGCCUUCGGGUUGUAAACCGCUUUCGCCUGUGACGAAGCGUGAGUGACGGUAAUGGGUAAAGAAGCACCGGCUAACUACGUG
rnacentral:rRNA from 1 species